UCGGCACUGAAAAGAAAUAAGCACUCCAUGAAAUGUCAACGAGAGCAGCACCGCCGGAGGAAGUGCUUGUAGAGCGUGGCAAGGGGAGUCCCUGUUGGUCACGAACUGGUGGCGAGGGAAAGUGUAUUUUCAAGAAAAUCGCAGUUUUAGUCGGUCUCCAAAAGAACCCCACCAGGCUUCUCUAAAGAAUCGUCACCUCCCGGGAAGAAGGUACUAAUGUCACCCGACCUGCAGCCAAGGAUGUGAGUGCUGGGGAUGGAAGGAAGCUACCAAGGGGGCUCGGCUCGGUAGGAAGCAGGGGACAGCAGCCAACUCCAACCCUCCACCCCUGCAAUGCUGCUCCCAAUAAAUAAAAGGUGACUCUACUCAGAUUAGUACAACAUGUUAGGAUUGACACCUCUAUUUGUCCCUAAGUUAAAAAAAAAAAUCACACGUGUAAUUACUCCAUUUACUAAAUCUUUCUAAUGCCCGACAGGAUAUAGUUUCUACAGCAAUUUGUUUGAGUUACGUGUCAAUGAAGAACCCCUUGGAAAAGGGUCUUUGCUCAGGGAGAUUUUUAAAAACUAGGUGUGAAUUAAAGUGCCAAAACACACUGCCUUUUUAUUUUAUUUUGUUUUUAAAAUUUAUUUUAUUGAAGUAUAGUUGAUUUGCAACACGCUGCCUUUAGAUGCGGACUAUCUUAUUUCUGUACAUCCGCUCUUCAUAACUAAUGAACUCAUGUGAUACAACAGAGGCCAAACUCUGUGGCUUUCUGUCCACAGCCGGCCACAAUCUGGCCUCUGGUCUUGCCACUCCUGACCGAUGCCCUUCAUGUGGACCUAUGCUGGAUGCUCCGCAUUUCUCUGAACAUAUUGUGUUACUUGAUGCCGUGCCUUCUGCGGUGUCAAGAUUCAUCUGAAGCACCGUGUGCUCUGGGAGGCCCCCCGGCAUGCUGGGACACCCGGCACAGCUGUCUCACCGACUCAUCCCCCAUGCAGACUGGCUCCCUGGGGGACUGGCUGAGUGGGGUCUCAUGGGCCCCUGGCGCAUGCAAACACGAACUGGGGGAUGAAGGGAUACAUGAGUGCAGAGGGACGGACAUUACCAAAAACAGCUCUGGGGGAGACAUGGCAAUGCUGCCUCCGCUUGUUAGGUCUUUAAGCAGGACCGUUUUCUAUCACCAAUUCUGGGGGAGGGUGCUAGCAGGGAUUCUCGGGACGAACCCUCUUGCACCCACUUGUAACAAGAUAUUCUUUCUUUGCGUUAUCAGAUUGUCCUGUAAAUCAACUGAAGCCUGUAGACUGACAUUAAAGGUGGCUGAUGCAACUGAAUUUUAACACAGCAAACUGAAUUUAAGCAAAAUACGUCUGAGGUAUGAGGCUGUGACUGGCUUUUAGCAACAAAUUGCAAAAGGAUCGGUGGGGAUUUUGCGCCUAGACAGCCAAGGCUCUGAGAUUCAGGCCACUCUCAGAGUCAGGGUGGACUUGGCUGAACCUCAGAGAAGCAUUGAGUGUACGACCAUUUCUCCAGGGCUCGGGGUCUGCAGGAAGCAGGGACUCUUGACUCCCUCUUCUGCCUAAGGAUCCCCCCCCCCCCCCGUUCUCUACCGGGUCUGAGAAAUCCAGAAGCUGCAUUAGAGCCUGCCUGGCUUCACUCAACGCUCAUGAAUCUGUUCUGUGCAAAGGCACAAUCAGAGGAGGAAUGUGCUUUUGCACCACCUUUGAAAACUCGAAAACCAAGGCUUUAAUCUCACCGGCACAAUUUUCCAGCACUGAUAUCCACCUAGCGCGCUGAUGUUCCUUAGCUUUCUAGACGCACUCACCUUUCCAAGCACGGAAUUUAAGUCUAAUGCACUGGUCGAUAAAGCAGCGGGCUCGUCAGCUUGGAUUAUGUUGCUUACAUCCAAGUCCGCGUCUGGUGUCUGAAUCAUCUUGGAGAGACCAUCGACCGCAGCUUUCAAUUCAUACAGACGUUUUAAAAUAUCAUCUUGGCGGGACUCAAGAGCUUGAAGAGAUGGGUCCGACUCUUCCUAAACAGACCAACAUCAAAACGUUCACUUCCUCUCACAUCAAAGCAGUCUGUUUGAUCACUUGUCUUCCACUUAGUUCGAACCUCCCACCUUUCAGAAGACAUUAAAAUGAAGUUAGCAGAA